AGCGAACGCUGGCGGCGUGCCUAACACAUGCAAGUCGAACGUGAACGGGAGCAAUCCCAAGUAAAGUGGCGUACGGGUGUGUAACACGUAGGUAAUCUACCUAAGAGUCUGGAAUAACCUGCCGAAAGGCGGGCUAAUACUGGAUAGAGCGAGGACUUUUUAAAGAAGUCUUCGGGAAAGGGAGGAAGCAAUUCCCUUCGCUCUUGGAUGAGCCUGCGUCCCAUCAGCUAGUUGGUAAGGUAACGGCUUACCAAGGCAAUGACGGGUAGCUGGUCUGAGAGGAUGAUCAGCCACACUGGAACUGAAACACGGUCCAGACUCCUACGGGAGGCAGCAGUGGGGAAUCUUGCGCAAUGGACGAAAGUCUGACGCAGCCACGCCGCGUGAGUGAAGAAGGCCUUCGGGUCGUAAAGCUCUGUCGGGCGAGACGAAAACUCUAUGGGUUAAUAGCCCAUGGACUUGACGGUACCGCCAAAGGAAGCACCGGCUAACUUCGUGCCAGCCGCCGCGGUAA
rnacentral:rRNA from 1 species